CGACGAGUUAUUGGGCGCAUUCAAGUUGACAAAGCGGUUGUGACCUGCAUGCCAAGCAAAUAAGCAUAAUUGAUUGUUACUUAUAGAUCCAACCAAUCAUAUUCAAUCGCUCGUUGCCAGGAGACUCCAGUUUUCGGUAUCAAUCUCCAGUUCUCCAGCAGGCGGGAAAAAUCUUCAGUUUUUCGCUCGCGGGAUAUUUAUUAAUUGGAUAUUUAAAUUAUGUGGAAAAUAAUAAGAAAGUCUGUGAUUAUAUUCGCACUGUAUGUAAUCUUGUAAUAAUAAUAAAAAGGUCUCUACGAUUGUGUUAACACUU